CUCUCUUUACUAGUUUUCUUUUUUAUUUCUCUCUCUAAAAUUUUAUGAACUAAUAGAGGGUCUAGAUACUUAGACAAAUUCAUAUCUUAGUUGAUCCUAGGAGAGGUUCUGAACUUGUGACUUUAAAAAUAUUUUCAUAAAUUUUCUAUCCUUAAUUGCGCAUGGGUUUUAGAUUUGUCCGUGAUUAUGUAAAGAUAUAACUG
rnacentral:lncRNA from 1 species